rnacentral:rRNA from 1 species
CCUACGGGAGGCUGCAGUAGGGAAUAUUGCUCAAUGGGGGAAACCCUGAAGCAGCAACGCCGCGUGGAGGAUGAAGGUUUUCGGAUUGUAAACUCCUUUUGUUAGAGAAGAUAAUGACGGUAUCUAACGAAUAAGCACCGGCUAACUCCGUGCCAGCAGCCGCGGUAAUACGGCGGGUGCAAGCGUUACUCGGAAUCACUGGGCGUAAAGAGCGCGUAGGCGGGAUAGCAAGUCAGAUGUGAAAUCCUAGGGCUUAACCAUAGAACUGCAUUUGAAACUGUUAUUCUAGAGUAUGGGAGAGGUAGGUGGAAUUCUUGGUGUAGUGGUAAAAUCCGUAGAGAUCAAGAGGAAUACUCAUGGCGAAGGCGACCUGCUAGAACAUAACUGACGCUGAUGCGCGAAAGCGUGGGGAGCAAACAGGAUUAGAUACCCUGGUAGUC